rnacentral:rRNA from 1 species
ACGCUGGCGGCCGUGCCUAACACAUGCAAGUCAACUUGACUGAAGGAGCAAUCUGAACAGUAGAGUGGCGCAAGGGUGCGUAACGCGUAAGUAACUUGCCCAAGGUAAGGAAUAACGUCGAGAAAUCGGCGCUAAUACCUCAUAAUGCAGCGGAUCCGCAUGGAUAUGUUGUUAAAGGUUUACCGCCUUGGGAUAGGCUUGCGUCUGAUUAGUUAGUUGGUGUGGUAACGGCACACCAAGGCUACGAUCAGUAACUGGUCUGAGAGGAUGAUCAGUCACACUGGAACUGAGACACGGUCCAGACUCCUACGGGAGGCAGCAGUGAGGAAUAUUGGGCAAUGCUCGAAAGAGUGACCCAGCAACGCCGCGUGGAGGAUGAAGGUAUACUAUAUCGUAAACUCCUGUGAGAGCAGACGAAAGACAGAUUAUUAAUCUGGAUGACUGUAUGCUCAGAGGAAGCCCCGGCUAACUACGUG